rnacentral:rRNA from 1 species
UACGUAGGGUGCAAGCGUUAUCCGGAAUUAUUGGGCGUAAAGAGCUCGUAGGCGGUCUGUCGCGUCUGCUGUGAAAACUGGGGGCUCAACCCCCAGCCUGCAGUGGGUACGGGCAGACUAGAGUGCGGUAGGGGAGAUUGGAACUCCUGGUGUAGCGGUGGAAUGCGCAGAUAUCAGGAAGAACACCGAUGGCGAAGGCGGGUCACUGGCCCGAUAACUGACGCUGGAGGCACGAAAGCGUGGGGAGCAAACAGG